UAUGUAUAUGAAUACAUUGUAACAGUCUUCAGACACCCCAGAAGAGGGCAUCGGAUCCCAUUACAGAUGGUUGUGAGCCACAAUGUGGUUGCUGGGAUUUGAACUCGGGACCUCUAGAAGAGCAGUCAGUGUUCUUAACCACUGUGCCAUCUCUCCUGGGACUACACAGUGGGUUCCAGGUCAGCCUGAACUGCAGAGUAAGACCCUGUCUCAAAAUUCACACACUUGCACAUAUUCAUAUGCAUGCACACCCCUAUCACACACACAUUGAUAAUAAAUGCAAUCUUAAUUAAUAAAGGAUGAGUUACCUGAGAAGCACUCCUCCUUGUCUAUAAGGAACUUGAGUGUCCUUGGCUUUUACUCUGUGGCAGGUUUGGAGCCAGGCCCCCACAAGCAGGGGUGACUGCAUUGACUGACCCACGUUCAGGUGCUCCCUGACCAUCACAGGAACAACACUCAAAGUCCAUUUGCCCCGUUUGCUGGAAUCCUGACAGGACAGUGUUUGUAAUCACCGAACAUUCAGGAUCAGGCCAGAACAAACAGACAGAAUCCAGAAAGUUUGCCCUCCCAUCUUCUAACUUUCCUUGAAUUCUUCUUUUAGAAGCUUUGAGAUUGAAUUUUUGUGUACAUGUCUGUGAGGAGGUAGACAUGUGCUGAGUACGUGUGACGGCCAGGGGACAGUUUUCAGGAGUCACUCCUACUAAUGUGGAACCUGGAUAUCCAACUCGGGUCGUCUGGCUUGGUGGCAAGCCCCUUUCCCUGCUGAGCCACCUUGCUGCCCCCCCUCUAAUUUAUUUGGUUUUAUUUUUAUUUUUAAGAUAUCACGGUUAUGUGGUGCAGGUUGGCCUUUUAACUCCUUAACAUAUUUUAGUGGUAUUUAUUUUGUUUUUUGUGCAGGAGUGUUUUCUUUGCAUUCAUGGAAAUGUACCAUGUGCCUGCUUAGUGCCCUUGGAGGCCAGAAGAGGGAACCGGCCUCCCUGGAGCUGGAGUGGCAGACAGUUGUGAACUGCCGUCUCCCACAAGUCAUGCCCCAGCCUGCAGCUAUCCCCGGAGACAGGAGGAAAGCUCAGUGCAUGACCCAAGGCUGGCCCUGACAGUCCAAAGAGACGGAGCACCCAUUAUCUUAUCCGAGGAAACUCUUUUAGAAGAAAUGACCAAGUGCCUAUGUUGUGGUGGACUGCUGUGGACAGAGUCGCUGGAGAAGCCCAUCGGUGUACAAUCGUUUAUUGAGCAUCUGAUGGCAUGUGCUAAGUACCGGGGAUGGAAGAAGAAACACCAGGCUUGCUUUCAGGGAGAAUGCAGCCGGGCUGAGUGCAUGCUAAUAGUGGGACGUGGCGAAAUGAAAGGGUAACCAGAAGGUUGCAGGAAGGCGUCUAGAAGAGAUCUCCCAGCGCGUGUGCUUCAGGAAAAUGGUAUGGAUGAAGGGUAGACAGGGACAGGCAUGGAGAAGAGCAUGCGUAAACGCUCAGCAUCAUCAAAAACAAAGCAAAACACCCUUGCCUGUCCCAGGGUUCCAGAGGAGACCAGGGCUCUCAGACAAAAAGAACACGGAACAAAGGGGGUGGGGGAGUAGCGAAAAAGGGCUGAACCUGUGAGCAGGCCAGACCUGCCGGGAUAUCAACAUCCUGUUAAAGAUUUGGAAGUCUAAGCAGGGUAGUGGUAGCCCAGUGCACUCUGAGUUCGAGGCCACUCUGGUCUAGAGUGAAUUCUAGGACAGUCAGAGCUACACAGAGAAACUGUGUUUUAAAACAAAACCAAACAGGAAAAGAUUUGGAGGUACAAAUUUAAGGGGGAGGCAGGGAAAUGGCCCAGGAUGCCUUGGAGGUCAGGAAAACUGCAAGAGGCAAAGUCAGUUGGGCUAGGCAUGCGUGGUAAGGGUAACAGAGUGGACUGUAAUCCGGCAGGAGAAAGUCCGGGGUAUUGAGGAAGUAGCCAGGGCCUGCGUGGGAGGAACCCUGGUGCUCAGAGGGUGGAGAGGGCUAUACGCCCAAGUAGGAAGGUCAGAGACAAACGCCAGCUACCAUAUUCUAGAAGUCUGGACUUUACUCCACAGACAGUGGGGAGCCACUGAAGAUAUUCUGAUCAGCGAAGAGAUAUGAUCAGAGCUGCAUGGCAUAGUUCCGCGCGGAACACGGACAAAGAUAUCUACGCGAGAGGCAGCGAGGGUCCUCUAACACUCAACCAUCUAUCAGGCGCUUACAUGCAACACUAAGCGUUUCAGAAAACUGCCCCUUCCGACCUUGCAGCGGACUAAGACGGUGACAGUGGCGAUACAGUGAAUCCAGCCCUUAAAGAAGGGGCUCCCAUGUGCACCCACAUGCAUACAAGGCUCAGAAAAGGUUUCCGAGCGAUACAAGGCCUUAUUGAGCUCUUCCUUCCUCCCACCCUUCCUCUUUCCUUUCUUCCUUCCUGGCUGCCUGUUUUCCUGCGCUACCAGGGACUGAACCAAACCUAACACAUCCUACAAACCAGGCAAGCCAUAGGCCACUGAGCUGCACUCUGGCCUCUGUCCAGGCGGCUGGAGAUUCUGAGAAGAACGGCCUGAGGGAUAAGGAGAGGUCUGCAGAGAGACCAUGAGGGCCUUGCUCAUCAGGCUUUGUUUAGUCACUACGUAAGGCAAGGGACCCUCCUGGCUGCUGAAUGAACAACCCUGAGGCCUUCAUUUCCUGAGGGUGGGGUGUCUUUCUUUCAGUUCCUACCUCAAUAAAAUACGUUCUCUUUGUCUCUUUCA